AGUUCGUGGUCAGAGGUCAGCGGCUCUGAGCCAGGUGCCUGCUGGGACAGCUGUCACAGGAUUUACACACAGACAGCACUAACUGCAGAUGUGGCCUUCUGGUGCUGGCCAAGUAAAUACUCCAGUACCAUCCUGCAUUUGAGCCUGAGCCAUGCCUGAUGAAGGCCUGACUGCACUGAGGAGAGGAGGGCUAAAAAUACAGCUGGUGUGAAGCACAGAAACAAGG